AAACUAUGUUGAGGACAUCUUUUAAACAGAUCUUUAAAUCUUUCCCAAGCUUCAUAAAAUGGUUCAAAGUCGAAUUGUCUGAAUUGACCAAUCUCACUUCGAAGUUG
rnacentral:snoRNA from 1 species